GUCUAGUGAAAGUAAAAAGAAGAAAAACAGAGCUAAGCCAAGGAAAUGAUUUCUUUCCCACCUACAAUGCAUGAAAAGAAAUUAACAUGAAAAGGGUCUGAGGAAGACAUUAAUAUUUUGAUAGUGGCAGAAGAAUGUUAUUUACAAAAAUAAUGACAAAUGUUGAAGAGAAAAUACAGGCUUCCUAGCAACUAGACCAAAGAUAAGAACUUGAUCAUAAGAACCCAUCACUGAGAACAUCAUCUAUUUUGCCCAUAAGACUUGGAGAACUGAAGCAGGAACUAAGAUGGAGAUGUCCUCACCACUAACUAGCCCCUGCAGUGUUUGGAAGAUGCUAUUCACGCUGCUAGAUGAGAGAGAACAUGAACAGCCUUAUCCGGCUAUGAACUGUAGACUAGGCCCAGACAGAAGGAUAUGCCACAGCAGGAGACAGGAUCCAGAAUGAGAAUAGACAAAAGACAUUUUCAAAAGUCCAGGUUCACAGCUUGACAGAAGCCUUCACACAGAAAGAGCCAUUGCACAUUGGACAGAUGAUCCCAGAAUGGAAGUUUCCAGAGGAAAUAACAGUCAAUAAACAGGGGUUGAUCCCAGGAUUCUGUGCCUGCUAAGCAAACAUUCUGUCACAGAGCUACACCUCCCGUUCCAGAUGAAUUACUGGUGUGAUGAAUUUGACUUCAACUUAAUGACACAACUUGUAAUGUUACCAAAAAAAAAAAAAAAAAAAGGAAUAAUUCCACAAGGCAAACAUUCAAACAUAAAUCCACGAAGUUGAACGUCAUCAGCGAUCUGAUUCAUUUUAUGAUUAGAAUAACAUUCCUUAAUAAUUCUUAUAUAACAUGGCUUGAGAUACCCAAAGUACAUAUUUUCUAUCAACACAAAUGCUUCUUCACCAUGUAUCCUAGGAAAAAAAUCACCUAGGGGUGAUUAUUAAAAAAAAAAAAAAAA
rnacentral:lncRNA from 1 species